AUUGAACGCUGGCGGCAGGCCUAACACAUGCAAGUCAAGCGGAUGAAGGGAGCUUGCUCCUGGAUUCAGCGGCGGACGGGUGAGUAAUGCCUAGGAAUCUGCCUGGUAGUGGGGGAUAACGUCCGGAAACGGGCGCUAAUACCGCAUACGUCCUGAGGGAGAAAGUGGGGGAUCUUCGGACCUCACGCUAUCAGAUGAGCCUAGGUCGGAUUAGCUAGUUGGUGGGGUAAAGGCCUACCAAGGCGACGAUCCGUAACUGGUCUGAGAGGAUGAUCAGUCACACUGGAACUGAGACACGGUCCAGACUCCUACGGGAGGCAGCAGUGGGGAAUAUUGGACAAUGGGCGAAAGCCUGAUCCAGCCAUGCCGCGUGUGUGAAGAAGGUCUUCGGAUUGUAAAGCACUUUAAGUUGGGAGGAAGGGCAGUAAGUUAAUACCUUGCUGUUUUGACGUUACCGACAGAAUAAGCACCGGCUAACUUCGUG
rnacentral:rRNA from 1 species